rnacentral:rRNA from 1 species
GACGAACGCUGGCGGCGUGCUUAACACAUGCAAGUCGAACGGUAAGGCCCUUCGGGGUACACGAGUGGCGAACGGGUGAGUAACACGUGGGUGAUCUGCCCUGCACUUCGGGAUAAGCCUGGGAAACUGGGUCUAAUACCGGACAGGACUCCUGGCUUCAUGGUUGGGGGUGGAAAGCUUUUGCGGUGUGGGAUGGGCCCGCGGCCUAUCAGCUUGUUGGUGGGGUAAUGGCCUACCAAGGCGACGACGGGUAGCCGGCCUGAGAGGGUGACCGGUGACAAGGGGACUGAGAUACGGCCCAGACUCCUACGGGGGGCAGCAGUGGGGAAUAUUGCACAAUGGGCGCAAGCCUGAUGCAGCGACGCCGCGUGAGGGAUGACGGCCUUCGGGUUGUAAACCUCUUUCAGCUAUGACGAAGCGCAAGUGACGGUAGUAGCAGAAGAAGGACCGGCCAACUACGUGCCAGCCGCCGCGGUAA